UGCAGUCGAGCGAACGGACGAGAAGCUUGCUUCUCUGAUGUUAGCGGCGGACGGGUGAGUAACACGUGGAUAACCUACCUAUAAGACUGGGAUAACUUCGGGAAACCGGAGCUAAUACCGGAUAAUAUUUUGAACCGCAUGGUUCAAAAGUGAAAGACGGUCUUGCUGUCACUUAUAGAUGGAUCCGCGCUGCAUUAGCUAGUUGGUAAGGUAACGGCUUACCAAGGCAACGAUGCAUAGCCGACCUGAGAGGGUGAUCGGCCACACUGGAACUGAGACACGGUCCAGACUCCUACGGGAGGCAGCAGUAGGGAAUCUUCCGCAAUGGGCGAAAGCCUGACGGAGCAACGCCGCGUGAGUGAUGAAGGUCUUCGGAUCGUAAAACUCUGUUAUUAGGGAAGAACAUAUGUGUAAGUAACUGUGCACAUCUUGACGGUACCUAAUCAGAAAGCCACGGCUAACUACGUGCCAGCAGCCGCGGUAAUACGUAGGUGGCAAGCGUUAUCCGGAAUUAUUGGGCGUAAAGCGCGCGUAGGCGGUUUUUUAAGUCUGAUGUGAAAGCCCACGGCUCAACCGUGGAGGGUCAUUGGAAACUGGAAAACUUGAGUGCAGAAGAGGAAAGUGGAAUUCCAUGUGUAGCGGUGAAAUGCGCAGAGAUAUGGAGGAACACCAGUGGCGAAGGCGACUUUCUGGUCUGUAACUGACGCUGAUGUGCGAAAGCGUGGGGAUCAAACAGGAUUAGAUACCCUGGUAGUCCACGCCGUAAACGAUGAGUGCUAAGUGUUAGGGGGUUUCCGCCCCUUAGUGCUGCAGCUAACGCAUUAAGCACUCCGCCUGGGGAGUACGACCGCAAGGUUGAAACUCAAAGGAAUUGACGGGGACCCGCACAAGCGGUGGAGCAUGUGGUUUAAUUCGAAGCAACGCGAAGAACCUUACCAAAUCUUGACAUCCUUUGACAACUCUAGAGAUAGAGCCUUCCCCUUCGGGGGACAAAGUGACAGGUGGUGCAUGGUUGUCGUCAGCUCGUGUCGUGAGAUGUUGGGUUAAGUCCCGCAACGAGCGCAACCCUUAAGCUUAGUUGCCAUCAUUAAGUUGGGCACUCUAAGUUGACUGCCGGUGACAAACCGGAGGAAGGUGGGGAUGACGUCAAAUCAUCAUGCCCCUUAUGAUUUGGGCUACACACGUGCUACAAUGGACAAUACAAAGGGCAGCGAAACCGCGAGGUCAAGCAAAUCCCAUAAAGUUGUUCUCAGUUCGGAUUGUAGUCUGCAACUCGACUACAUGAAGCUGGAAUCGCUAGUAAUCGUAGAUCAGCAUGCUACGGUGAAUACGUUCCCGGGUCUUGUACACACCGCCCGUCACACCACGAGAGUUUGUAACACCCGAAGCCGGUGGAGUAA
rnacentral:rRNA from 1 species